UGGGCUAGAUGGUGUUUUUAUUUUUAUUUUUAUUUUUAUUUAUUGCUGUUACUAAUUAGAUCCACAAAGAAUAUUCUUUCACCUCUUUGCUAUUUGAUUGUGCUUGUAUUUUGUAUUUUGUCAGUUUGAUACCAAUAUGGGUAUUGAUACUUGUCAUAAUGUGUGAGACUCUGUCAAGGAACUUGUUCUAAUAAAUGUUCAAAAAAAAAAAUGGAAUCUAUCUGUUGUUCAGCUGCAGUCAGUGGAGAGGAAACCACAGCAGGGUGAGAGUCAGUCAGAGAGGAAGGAGGAGGGUCUGACUGAUGUGACCAUGAAAUGAUGAAGUGUAGAUGUCAUAUGAGUCGGUGUUAGGAUGGAGGAAACACGUCUGCUGCGUCUGCUCUGUAAGUACACUCACACAUCAGCUGGAAGAAACACACACUUUGUUUUGUGGAACAUGAACAGACGUUAGUGUCCAUGUUACUCUGACAGGACGUCACUUUUCACACUGUUGCUUUAAAAACAACAUGAGCUGAUGAUGUUUCUUUGAUACGACUGUCCUCCUCUGUGUUUCCUCUCAAACCAACCGGAGUGUCUUUUGUCUUUAGUUGUGACGUCAGUGCUGAGCGGCUGCACACACCAAGCCUCUCUGAAGAUCAGUCCUCACACAUCUCAGCUGUUUGUAGGAGAGUUUGUCUCUCUGAGGUGUGAGGAGGACGACAGCUCUGAUGGAUGGACGGUGACGAGGAACACGACUGAAGACACCAGGACUCAGUGUGGAGCUGGCUGGGGAAGAAAAGAUGGUUCUGACUGUAAAAUCAGCUACAUCAACACAUGGGACAGUGGAGUUUACUGGUGUGAGUCCACAGGCGGAGCAGCCAGUAGCAGCAUCAACAUCACUGUCACUGGUAAGAUGAGGCUGUUGUAACUCCAGCAGGUCUGAACACUGAGUCUGUCUUUCACCUUUUCACUUUGGCUGAGCCUGAGAGAGACAAAGACAAGAAGACAGACAGGUGACCUUCAGGAGGCAACAACACUGGGUGGAGCACUGAGUCUGCCUCCUCAACAUGUUGUUCAUCUGUCAGUCUGAGAUUAUGUUCAACAUGUAGAGAUGAUAAAUCAGCUCCAUGUGCCAAAUGUUUCUCCAGAGAGAUUGUUGUGAUGAAGUGUUGCUGAGUACAGGACAGGACAGUGAGACUGCUUGUGUGAGUCAGAGGAUCCAACAAGCUGAGUUUGAUGCUGUGAAAUCACACUUUAACCUGCCCAUGUUAGCAGCAACUUAAUACAUUUUGUACGUAGUAGAUAUGUUAAAACACUGUGAAACUUUACAUGUCUUGAUGUUUUAAAUUAGUUUUGUCUUUAAUACCACAGCUGGAAAACCUCGACAUCUUGUUAAAGUAUAAUAUUGAACCAUCAUGUGAUUUAUUCUCCUCUAUAUAAAGUUUGUGGGUCUCAGGCUGACAUAGAACAAGAGGAACAGACCAGACAGGAGCAAGUUCACUUUCUUAGUUUGAUCUGGUUUCU
rnacentral:lncRNA from 1 species